ensembl:lncRNA
GCAUUGUAGACAGACGUUUUACCGUCUGAGCCACCAGGGAAGUCCUAUAUCAAGGAGAAAAAGAGAAGAAAUUAAUUUUUUUUUUAAUUUGAUGCACCUCUUUGUCAAUCACCCCUCACCUGUCUCUUGUCUUUGUUGUUUUUCCGUAGUUUCUCUUAAUCUUGGUCUCUUUCUCUCUCCAUUUGCUAAGGGCUGGAAAUUCCUUGUUCUCAACGGAAGGGAGGAGGAGGGGAGUUGGAGGUGGUAGGAGUGGGAGGGAAGCGAAGAACAGACAUCUCAGCAGCUCCGGCUGCGGGGGAGUCUGGGCCUCUGGCGGGGCUUGACAAGUCAAUGGUUUUUAAAAUGUACAUAUUUUUAAAUCCACGCAGAGGGGCUCACAAACCUAGAGACACAGACACACAAGUAGAUGUAAAGAAACGUAUAGAUACACAACCUCGGGGUACAGAAGUACAAACUGGGAAUAACGUCUUAAAUUUGCUUCUGAGCAUUUCACAAUUUACAGUUUUCAUAUACACUCUCACUUGAACCUCACGACAACCCUGAGAAACAAAGAUACAAACACUCGGGAGUUUCACUCUCAAACACACGUUCGCACCCAAACAGAUUUCUUCUGACCCCGAGGGGUAUGGGCUGGCCCAGUGUGCGGGGUUUUUCUCCCCUCUUCCCUCUCUGGCCUAGUACCGGCCCCAGGACCAGGUCCCUUCCGCGUUCCCUUUCCUGGGCCGGGACCCAAGGCCGAGCGCCCAGUCGGUUACCGCCCCCUUGCUUCACGCCCUAUUCCACCCUCUUCCCUGGCUGGCCCGCGACUCCCCCCGGAUCCCCGGGCUCGGCACCGGCCCAAGGGGGACCGGGUGGGAGGGAGGGGGGCGCCUUGAGCAGAGGCUGCGUGGGCGGAGGAUGUGCGUCACGGGGAGCGUGGGCAGAGGGAGGGAGGAGGCACGUGGAAACCCGGGGCCAGCCGCUGGCAGCCCAGGCUCUAAAAUAACCGGAGAGGGGAAUGGGGGAGGGGCGCCCACACACCUAAGGGGGGUCGGGGAUGACCCCGGAGGUACCUCGUGUCGCCGCGCCCUCCAGUUGCCGGACGGAGGACUCAGCUCGUUCCUAUCACGCCCUACCCCCGUGUUUGUAGCUUUAUGGAAUGGAGAAGAGAAUCUUGGCUACCGAAAUUCCCCCCGGUGAUGCGAUGCACCCCCACCCCUCCUCUCCGGCCCUCCACUAACGGCCGAAAGGUCCCCUCGCCAGGCCGGAAUGUAGAACCAGCCCUGGCCCACGCCACCCACUCCAGGCCGCCCCGGGCCACUCAGAAGUGCAGAAGGGUGGGCGGGGCCGAGGUUUUGGACUAGGGGGAACCUUGCUUCUGGCCAGCCAGCUCGCUUCCCGCCGCCUCCCCCCACCCUCCUGCAUUUCCUCGGGGCAUAGAGCCGCAGGGCCGGGCGCUCAGAGCCCCCGCCUGUCCGCCCUCCCAGCCGUGGGCGGGAGUGUAAUGGGAACCAGAUGGAGCUGGGAGAAACAAAGGGGGUAGGGAG